UACGUAGGGUGCAAGCGUUAAUCGGAAUUACUGGGCGUAAAGCGUGCGCAGGCGGUUGUGCAAGACAGAUGUGAAAUCCCCGGGCUUAACCUGGGAAUUGCAUUUUGUGACUGCACGGCUGGAGUGUGUCAGAGGGGGGGUAGAAUUCCACGUGUAGCAGUGAAAUGCGUAGAUAUGUGGAGGAAUACCGAUGGCGAAGGCAGCCCCCCUGGGAUAACACUGACGCUCAUGCACGAAAGCGUGGGGAGCAAACAGGAUUAGAGUACCCCAAGU
rnacentral:rRNA from 1 species